GUUCUUAGUCCCUUGAGUCUCUUCUCUCUCACAUAUUACCAUGGAGCUCAAUCUCUUUCCUACACAGCAAAAAGAUGGAAAAUCACCAUCAAGAAAUUGUUUCCUAGGAGGCCGGGCACAGUGGCUCACGCCUGUAGACCCAGCACUUUGGGAGGCCAAGAGGCAUCCGAUCAUUGAAUAUCUUUAGUUGCAGUCCAGGGAAGAGGAUGGAGGCAGAAAGCUGUCUGAAUCAGUGCUACUCAGUGUGGGCUGAAGUCCAGGGCUGGUCCAUGAUCUGUUUGUUGCCAGCUUGUGGCAAGAUCUGAGAUGAAGAUUGUAAGAGAUACUGUGCUGUGGGCCCAGCACAAUACCAGGCUCGUGGUAAGGAUUGUAAGUUGCCUUAAAGGUCAUCUGGUUGAACCCACAACCUACUGCUCCAGUGAGAAUCUCAGUCUCCACCAAGGAACCAACCACAGCUACCCCAGCACAGCCAGCAUAUCCUGACUGGGACCCCCAGCUCAGGUAAGGCAAAUAGUACUGGCCAGGUCAUCUCUACCCUCGUCUCCAUUAUACCUGAAGAACUUAGCAUCCUAACUCAAGAGAAAACAUGACAUCCUUCUCUCUCAUGAUAACAAAUCCUGAUUUUGUUCAGGUAUCGGGCAUCCAUGUGCUUCAGGGGAAGUGCGCCCCUUCCAUGGUAAUUCGCCUGUCCAGUGACUGAUUUAGGAAUGGGUUUGUGAUAUAACCUGGAUAACAAAACAUGGAGAGAGGUCUGAGUCUCUCCAGGACCGAAGGAGUAUCAGGAAAUAUUUUCUUACUCUUAAAAGCAAGGAAACUAGGCUUUUUUUCUGCCUCUAAAUGUCCACAUUUGAAGCCUGGAAUUGCCAAAGUCUUCUGGGAACCAUGAGGGGACUCAGCCAAAGAGGAUAAAUCAACAUGUGGAAAGCAACAAACGAAAUAACAGAAAGAAGUAGGACAUUGAUGUUUUUGUUAAACCCAUGAAUUAACCAAUCCAAGAUCAGAACUACCUCAGCAUUUUCAAUAUGUAAGAUAAUAAUUUUUCCUUUAAGUCAUUGGUAAUUGGGUUUUCAGUUGCUUGCAGCCAAAAGAUGUACAAAAUAGACACAUGAAGUCUGAGGCUAUAAACUGUUGGGCACCUUUGAUCCAAGGCUUCCCUUACUCCCUUCCUUCUUCUGAGCAGCUAAGUCAUCUCCGACUCACACAGUGUACCCCGAAUAUUUAAAGGAGUUCAGGAUAGACGAGGAGUUCAUUCCCUUUCACCACAGGACAUGACUCCUGCAUUUUAGCAAAUUCUCAGGCCAGCCCCAUCCCAUCUUCCUCAUUGGUUUCAGCUAGGGAAACCAGAGCGCUGCAAAGCCCACUGCAGACUCCGAGGCUGUAAAUGAAAGGUGUGAGGCACGCCGGCUGUGUACUGGCCACGUCUGCUUCUCUUGCAGGCUCCACCAUCAGCCUCUUCCUCCUGAAGUGGACCCUCCUCUCCAGCUCUUGCCCAUCCACUGUGACCGUUUUCAAGCCCCUUCUCUUCUGUGACGCCUUCCAGCAUAACGCCAGACCACACUCUGUACUGAACUUUUAGACACUCGAUACUCUGCAAGUUUCUGCCUUCAGAUUGUGAACUUGACACUGUGCCUCCAACCUGGCUGUGCACCUUUGAGCACAGGGAUGAGUGCAGACCUCUGCAUGUUUCCAGUGAUGACCAACACACAGAGGCAUUACAUAAAUGCUUGAGUUUAAGUAGAAAGUAAACUUUCCCCACAGCCAUACAAUCACGAUAAAAUUUUGAGUUAGAGCCUCAAAAGCUCUCUUGUCCAGCUGCUGCCCUCAAUGAUCCUACAGAUGGAGUUCGAUCCUACAGACUUCAAUCUUUGCAGUGAAGCAGAACUCAUUACUUUGGGUGCCAUCUGUUUCAUUUCUGGACAACUCUCAGGGUUGGAAGUUUAUUUCAAUUUUAUUAUCAGGCCCCAAUUUGCUUCCCUAUAACCUGUCUUCAGCUCUUUUAUUUAUCUUUCUGGGAUAAAAAAAGAAUAAAUGUAUUCUAUUUUCACACACUAGCCCUACAAAUAUUGAAAGCAGCUAUUAUAUCUGUUCUAAAUCUUCAUUUGUCCAAACUAAAUAUCUUCAAUUACUUAAAUUAUUCUGUAAGAGGGGAGGGUUCCAGAAAUUUGUUUCAUAUUUCUUGUGCACAUUCCAAUUAGCCAUUUCUCUGUUAAGAUCUCAUUUAUUGAUUCAACAAAUAUUGAUUGAGUUCUUACUUUAUACAAGACUUACAUCGGAGAAUCUGACUUGGAGCUUGCAGUCCAGGAGGGAAGAUAAUUAAACAGUGACAGUGAGGAACAAAGUGUGCUGGCUCGUGCAUUGCACCAUUUCAGGGGCACCAUUCACACAUAAUACAAUGCAAAUUUCACCCCUUGGAGUUGUGCAACUUGGUGACCAGGCACUGAUGGGAGCAAGCAAAUUGUGGAUCAGGAAAGGCCUCCCUAGAAGAAAGGACAUUUAAGCUGAGACCUGAACUAUGACUGUCAGUUAAUUAUGUAAAGCAAGGGAGGAACAGUGUGCUGGGCUGAAAGAACAGCAUGUGAAAAAUGUGGGGGAGAAAGCAAGGGGCAGGGGAAGUGACAGAAAGAAGAGGGAAUAAAGAGAAAUGAGGCUCGAGAAGUAAGUUGGGGUCAGAGCUUGCAGUGUCUAGCAGGCCAUGUUAGGGAGGUUGACUCAUAUCCUAAAGAGGGUGGGAGUCUACUGGAGAGAUUGAAGCAGGAAAAUAAUAUGAUUGUAUUUGCAUUCAGGCUGCUGUAUGGAAAGUGGAUUUGAAGAGAAUAAAACCAGAAUCUGGGAGACCAUUUCAAAACCUGUUACAGUAAUCCAAGCCAAAAAAAAAAAAAAAAAAAAAAAAUCAGAGGGUGGCCAGAAACCAAGGUAGUGGUAGUCAAAAUAACUAGGACAUUAUGUAGACACAUUUGUGAGCUAGUUCAAAUGUAAAGUCAAUUAGACUUGGUGACUGGCUGGAUGUGAGGAGUGGAGGAAAGGAAGAAACCAAGGAUUUCAUAGGCAAAUGGACAGAUGGUGGUGCCACCUACUGAGGCUGGAAAUCUUGAAGGAAGCCUAGGUUAAAAAAAUUAAAAAGUGUCGGGGCAGAGGGGGUGGGAAUUGGCUGGUCCAAAGGUAGUACAUUAUCUCGAUUGAUUGUUCACUAUCAGCUACAGAUCAAACUCCUUGUUAUCCUCUUUUCCUGCUUCUCACUACUGCAUUUGACUAGUCUUUAAAAAACAAAAAUUAAAUUAGAUUAAAUUAAAAAGGACUACAAUAAAGAGCCCAGUUUAGGCCAGGCAUGGUGGCUCAUGCCUAUAAUCCCAGCACUUCGGGAGGCCAAGGCAGGUGAAUCGCUUGAGGUCAGGAGUUUGAGACCAGCCUGGCCAACAGGACGAAACCCUGUCUCUACUAAAAAUACGAAAAUUAGCCAGGCAUGGUGGUGCGCACCUGUAAUCCCAGCUACUCAGGAGGCUGAGGCAGGAGAAUCGCUUGAACUCAGGAGGCGGAGGUUGCAGUGAGCUGAGAUCACACCACUGCACUCCGGCCUGAGUGACACAGUGAGGCUCCAUCUCAAAAAAAAACAAGAGCGCAAUUUGGAAUGUAUUCAGCUGAGCUACUCUAAGAUACCUAAGUAGAGAUGUCUAAUUGGAUUUCAGGAGAUGUCUCCAGAAGAUUCUGGAGUCAUCAGUAUAUAAAUAACUAAAGCCAUGGGAGAGGAUACCAACUCAAAAAAAUAUAUAUAUAUAUAUAUAGAAUGAGAAGAGAAAGUUUAAGCCACUGAGGAACACAGUCAUUUAAUGGUUGAGUUGAGGAAGAGAUCUCAGCAAUGGAAACCAAGGGGGAACAGCCAGAAAGAUGAAAGGGAAGAUGGGAGUGUGAGGUCAUGGAGCCAAGGGAAGCCAGAGGAGUCAAGUCCUGCUGACACCCCUGGAGCUGGCCUGGUCCAGGCAGCUUAGGAGGAUCAUCCUCCUUCUCCAGGAUCAUCUGUUGUGAUGCAGCCUCACCACUAUUGCUGAUCCUUUAGUGGCAGCUGCACCAUGUUGUUGACCAUACUGGGUGUUGUGGGUUGAACUGUGUCUCCCAAAAUUAUGUUCAAGUCCUAACCCUCCAGUACCUGUGAAUGUGACCCUGUUUGUAAAUAGGGUCUUUGCAGUUGUGAUCAAGUUAAAAUGAGUUCACACUGGAUUAGAGUGAGCCCUAAUCCAAUGACUAGGCCUUAUAAGACUAAAAUUUGGACACAGAGACAUACACACAUAGGAAAGACAACCACAUGAAGACAGAGACAGAUAUUGGAAUUAAACUCCCAUGAACAAAGGAUUGCCAGCAACCACCAAAAACUAAAAGAGGUAAGGAGGAUUCUUCUCCAGAGCCUUCAGAAGAAACAUGCCUGCAGGUACCUUGAUGUUGUACCACUAGUCUCCAGAAUUAUGACAGAGCACAUUUCUUUCUUUUUUUUUGAGAUGGAUUCUAACUGUGUUGCCCAGGCUGGAGUGCAGUGGCAUGAUCUCGGCUCACUGCAAACUUUGUCUCCCAGGUUCAAGCAAUUCUCCUGCCUCGGCCUCCCAAAGUGCUGGGAUUACAGGUGUGAGCCACUGCAUCUGGCCACAAGUCAAGGCUCUGAAGUUCAGUGUUCAUUGGCUUCCCCAUGAAAGCCUCAGGCUGUAAGUUAUCACUGAAUGAAUCUAAAGAGGCAUCACCAACCACUCUUCAUGUCCUAUGAGGACAAAUCAAGAAGAAAGGGGUGUGGUUUCCAAUGUGGCUACAGAACUCCUUCUUAGGAGUAAGUACAUUCCGGGAUUGGUGACUUCAAUUAUAGAGUUCAUGGAACUCUAGUCUAGAUCCUAUGAAAACAAUUGCAAGUGUGCUAUUAGAAUUGGGAAAAAUAAUAGAGUUCUCUAUGUUCUGGUAGUGAAGACUGAUGAAAUGUUAUCUUUUUGCAACCACAAUACCUAAAACAAUUCCAUCCCCUUAGUUUAUGCUCUAUAUGUGGCUAUUCAGAGGUUUGGAGUCAGUAUAUCUUUUAAGUAAAAAGUUUGCAAGGGUGGAGCAUGGCAAAUAUUAUGAUUUGGUGAUCUAUGAUUUCAGAAAGUUUGAGAAAUAAACAAAAGUAUCCUUUUGUGGGCCUCCAGCCCUGAGAUUCUGUGACUCAGAUAUACCCCAGAAUGCCCAUGUCUCAACCUACUCUUCAAUAUGCCUGUUUAGGGACAUGUGAUACUAAUAUAAAUACAGAGAGGAAUUGGGACCCCGUAAGAAUUGUGACACUCCACUUCUCCUAUAAGCUUGAGGACCAAGGAAUAUACUCCUACCCCCACAAUAGGGUUGUGGCCCAGGGUUGUCCUCAGAAUGGCUCAUUGGAGGAGCAGGGGUCUGAACAUCUAGACAACAGCAGGUUUUACUAUCCGGGUUUCAGCUCCACUUGGCUCCACUGAGUGAGGGCUUUUGGUAUGUAUCCUCCUCUCCCUACAUUCUCAUUGUUAUUUUCCUAUUUCCUUGAUUUUGUGCCACACAGAAUACAAUCACGCAAGCUUCCAUUUGGGGAAAGUGGCAUAAAAUAAAAUGCUAAAUACAAACACAUAGUAAAGUAAAAAAAAAAAAAAAACAGAAAUUUGUUUAAAUGAUGCCACUGUUGUGUCUAGACAGAGACUGAGUCAUUUAAAUGUCUUCUCAGAGCAUCUUAUUUUUCUUUUCUUCUUUUUUUUUUAGGGCACUGCCACCCAGGCUGGAGUGCAGUGGUGGUUAUCAUAGCUUACUGCAGCCUUGAACUCCUGGUCUCAAGCAAUCCUCCUGCUCUGCUUCCUAAAGCACUGAGAUUACAGAAAUGAGCCAUUGCACCUGGCCUCCAGGCAUCUUUUAACUCUCAGCUUUAUCCAUCCACUCAUCCUAUAUUUACUGAGCAUCAUCUAUGUGUUGGGCUUCAUGACAAGUGCCAGGAUGUGCAUCCAUGGGUUCAACCCUACUCCAAGGGCAAGCUGUCUGCUGCUUGCCCCUUCCAAGCUACACAAGCCUGUGGGCAAUUUGUCUGCAGCAGCCCAUACUUAGCCUGCUGGGACUGUGGGGUAAGGAAUGAGAUGGGCUGGAAUGGUUAGUGCGGUUACCGCCACAGGACCCACUGAGGGCAGAACAAGAGGAAAUGGGCAGAAAGAGCAGGAGGUAUCUGGGUUUGACAGAGUGAAUCCUUCCCUCUAUUAGGGCAGGAGGAGCUGUCUCAGCUGAUGGGGGAGCUAAAGAAAUGGAAGUGCCAACUAACCUCCUCUAGGAGGGCUUCCCUGGAUCUCACAGACUUCUGGGGACAUGCUCCUGGUCCCACCCAGCACGUGCUGCUGUCGUUACCACAGCCCUUAGCACUGACUCAUACAGCGCCUUGUGUUGUUCUCCACGAAACUGUCAAGUCAGGGAGGUUCAUCUUCAUUCUCUGCAAAGAGUACUGGAUGCCAGCAAUUUCCCACCAACCUUCAAUAAGUAGCUGAGAGCUGCUAUAUGCCAGGCACUGGGAUGUGUCCAUGGAUAAAACAGACACAAAUCCCUGCCCUUGUGGAGGUUACAUGCUAGCCAUUAUAAACAAGUUAUACAGAUUUUUAGAAGGUGAUCAGAUCUAUGGGGGAAAAUUAAGUAGGAUAACUGUGUGUAUGUACACAGUAAUUCAAUAAAAACGAUUUUUUAAAAUAGAGCCAUGAAGGGUUACAGAGAAUGCCCAGAGUGAGGAGUCAAAGGUGGGAGGAAAAAUUGCAGUUCUAAAUCAGACAAUAAGGGUAGGUGUCAUUGAAAAAGUGACACGUGGCCAGGGGGCAGUGGCUCACAUCUGUAAUUCCAGCACUUUGGGAGGCUAAAGCGGGUGGGUAACUUGAGGUCAGGAGUUCGAGAUCAGCCUGGCCAACAUGGUGAAACUCCGUCUCGACUAAAAAAUACAAAUAGUAGCCGGGCCUGGUGGCGGGUGCCUGUAAUCCCAGCUACAUGGGAGGCUGAGGCAUAAGAGUCACUUGAACCCAGGAGGCGGAGAUUGCAGUGAGCCAAGGUCGCACCACUGCACUCCAGCCUGGGAGACAGAGCGAGACUCCCUCUAAAAAAAAAAAAAAAAAGAAGAAAGAAAAGGAAAGAAAGAAAGGAAGGAAGGAAGGAAGGAAGGAAGGAAGGAAGGAAGGAAGGAAGGAAGGAAGGAGGAAAGAGAAAGAAAGAAAGAAAGAAAGAAAGAAAGAAAGAAAGAAAGAAAGAAAGAAGGAAGGAAGGAAGGAAGGAAGGAAGGAAGGAAGGAAGGAAGGAAGGAAAGAAAGAGAAAGAAAGAAAGAAAGAAAGAAAGAAAGAAAGAAAGAAAGAAAGAAAGAAAGAAAGAAAGAAAGAAAGAAAAGAAAGAGAAAAGUGACAUGUGAACAAAACUCAAAAUGAGUUGUGCUGGUAACUGAGGAAUGUUCCACCGCAAGGACCUGGAGGAUGGAAAGAGUGGCUUCUGCCCCACCCGUCCAGCUCUGCAGCUCCGCGAACUUUGCAGGUCCCUAAGCUGUGGCUUGGCCUUGAGCCUCUCUGAGCUUCAAAUGCUUUCGCUGCUUCCCUUUUGCCUUUGGGUGGUGUCCCAAGGAGGCGAUAAACCACUGUUGAACCUCAGGGUCCUGUACUACAAAGGAUUGUUUCCUAGGUACUUAAUCAAGCUGAGCCUCAGUUUACAAAUCUAUAAAAUGGGGAUAAUUAUUUCACUUCCUUAUGGAGUCGUUGGAGAUCAAAAAUCCAAAAGAAAAGAAAGACUCACAAGGGGGAACUGGCAGUCUCUGAACUGAGCUGAGAGGCUCUUCAUAGGGCUUUAAUUUAGGAACUGGGCUAAAGGUUAAUACUGAUUCGCUAUCUCAUUCUCACAACAGCGCUAUAACAAAGAUGCUCUUAAAUCACUGUUUUUACUAAUUGGGGAAUUGACGCAUACAAACACUGAGGGCUCUGAGCUGCUGGGUGCUAGAGCAAGACCAUGAAUCCAGAUCUGUAGGAAUCUAGGGUUGCAGCCUACACACCACACAACCUCUUUUGAAUCUCUCAAGCCAAAUUUUCUUUGGUGGUGUGAGCAGGAAGAGCCAGGUUCUAAAACCUAAACUAGACACCGCUCUUCUCACAUUUCCUCCCAAUCAGCCCUAAUCUCUGUGGCCUCCUUUGCUGGGAUACAACCCAGCGGUUUUCUCUGCUGCAUUCUUAAAAGAGAACGAUACCCCCCAAAGCCGAGGACCUGAUUAAUUUGGGCGACUGUGGGAGGGAGAGAAGGGGAGGCAUUCUUAGAACUGGGGCCUAGGCUGGGGAUGGCGGGCUCCACUUUCGGCACAUUCUAGAGACCAUGGGCAUGGGGGUUUUGAGAGAAACCUGUGACUCACCUCGCCUCUCAUGGUCUGUUUCACUCGGAGGCUCACUGUCUUCCCAUCAUCCUCCCUCAGCCCCCACCGCCAACACUACCCGGCUGCCAGCACCCCUCAGUGACCCACCCACCUACUCCUGCUACCUCCCAGCAAGCCUACAGCUCAGCAGGGCAGGGGCUCCUCUCUGCGGGGCUAAAGAGCUACAAAUCCACUGAGUCUGAACGUCCCUGCAGCAGACCCCUGUAGCAGCCUCCCUUCUCAGCAAAAGCCACACGGCGUUAAUCACCUUUAUCCCAAAAAGAGGAGUCCGGGGCCAGCCUAGGGAGUUAAGAGUAACAACUGCCACUCUUAUAUAAAGGGCACAUGUGAGGGGAUAGAGAACUCGGGAGAUAGAGCAGGGAAGGGGCAGGAAAGCAGGUUUCUUGACUUCUAAAUGCAGUCUCCUAAGUUAAAUUAACCUGCUCACACUGGUACAAUGAUGGCUACAGUACCCACUGUAUAAUGCAUGAGAAUAUAUGAUAAUAAUGAGUGCUAACUAUGUGCCAGGCUGAGGCUUUUCCAUAAUCGUUUAUAUAACUAUGCUAAGUCUUUCAUAUGAUUUUUUUACCUGAUUUUUCAUUUAGUCCUCACCACCUUCUAAGGUUGGUGAUAAUAUUGUAGUCUAGAUUUUCCAAGAAGCAGAUGCCAAAACAGGAUUACACAUACAAGGGUUCAGUUAGGGGAAAUUUCUUUAUGAGAGAAAAUAGGGAGUGUGAAGCGAGGCUGGGGAACCACCGGUGUGUGACCCCACUAAGGAAAGAGGGAGAGGAGGAUGUGCACAAGGGCCCCAGGCACAAGUGUCUAUGAAGUUGCCAGGGGCAAAGCUGGCCAUCCUUCGAGUCCUGGUUCUCCCAGGAACGGGUGCGUCUUCACAUCCCUGUUGUACUGUCAUUGACUGGGAGCACGAGAAAGGAAGUGUGGCCUCCACACAAAUGAGACAAUGAAUUUCAGAGUGCCAUAGCUGGGGCCCUUGGACAAAUAAGCUCCCCAUAAUAGGAGGUCUCUGGGGCACAUGUUCAUGGGUGCCUCAAUAAUAAUUCCCAUUUUACCGGUUGACAAGCUGAGGCUCAGAGAGGACAAGUCAUCUGCUCAUAGUUGGGACCCAGCUUAGAGUAACUCCAAAGAUUUAUCUUUGUGCCAUAUGCAACUGAGCUACUGACCACCACAUCCCAAGCCAUCCCCAAGACUGAUGCCUCAGAUUCGGUACCCAGCAGAGGGCUGGGCACACAAUCAGUGUCACAUUGGGAGGCAAUGUGGCUGAGCUCCUGUCUAGUGAGCUCCUGUAUAGUGGGUCCUGCAUGUGUCCUGUGUGCCCCACAACACCUACAACCCGGAGUCAAAGCCGCCUCCUCCUCCCUGCUAUUCCUAACCAGAGGCGUGCCUCCUCUGUAACUUCCCACAGCACUCUGGGCCUCUCUUACAGCACCCACCAGAGUCAGCCUUAUGUCACUUAUGUUAUGUGCACACUUGUCAUCCCCCACAGGCAUUUGCAUGCCAGUCAGAGAAGCAGGUAGCCCGGUCAAGAUCAAACACCAGGAGGCCAAACAAGGCUGAACCUCAGAUUUUUGUCUUUGAGCCAUUCUGCCUACAUGCCCAAAAUGUAUGCAAAUAACCAUAAUUGAGUGAGCAGGGCCACUGAUAUGGGGAGAUGUUGAAGGAAUCCCCUAAACCCCUCUACAGCUGACUUUUCCACUCGCCCACAAUGUGGCCAAGGGUCUACAUCUAUCAGUUUUGGGAAGUGCUAUAAAUGCCCUUUUACUCUCGGCUGACUGACUCUACCCCCAGAUUUGCUGCUGACAGCAAACCCUUUCGUAAAGCUCUCACUUGGAAAGCAAUAUGCAAAGUGCAUUCAUUCAUAAAUCGAUACUGUCUUUUUGGCAGUCCCUAUCAAAAACUAAAAUGUGUAUACCCUUAGAUCUUGCCAUUCCACUACUAGGGAUCUAUACUACAGAAAUCCUUACACACACACUCGAAGAUACUGUACAAGAUAUUUGUGAGAUCUAUAUAAAUAGUAGAAAAAGGGGGGGAGGGUAGUCCUUCAGUGCAAAUGAGGUUAAAAGACAAAUAAAAAAGAAAGGAGGUGAGAAAUAUCCAUCCACAGCAGAUAAAUUGUGGUACAUCAUACUAUAAAAUACUCUGCAACUAUUUAGAAAAAGAAUGAUAGUUCUAUGAGUUUGAUCAUGGAAAUUCACAAGAUAUGCUAAGUGAAAAAAGCAAGCUGUAUGUUGUUUCAUGGGUAUGAAAAAGUCUGUCAGUUGCACAACAAUGUGAACAUACUAGUGAAGUUUACAGUUAAAAAUGUUUAAGAUGGUAAAUUUUCAGUUAAGUGUAUUUUAUCACAAUUUUUUAAAAGCAGGUUGCAGAACAAUA
rnacentral:lncRNA from 1 species